ACGGGAGGCAGCAGUGAGGAAUAUUGGUCAAUGGACGAGAGUCUGAACCAGCCAAGUAGCGUGCAGGAUGACGGCCCUAUGGGUUGUAAACUGCUUUUAACCGGGAAUAACGGUCACUACGCGUAGUGAUGUGCAUGUACCGGUUGAAUAAGGAUCGGCUAACUCCGUGCCAGCAGCCGCGGUAAUACGGAGGAUCCGAGCGUUAUCCGGAUUUAUUGGGUUUAAAGGGAGCGUAGGCGGGAUGUCAAGUCAGCUGUGAAAUGUAGUCGCUCAACGUCUGCACUGCAGUUGAAACUGGUGUUCUUGAGUGCGUAAGAGGCAGGUGGAAUUCGUCGUGUAGCGGUGAAAUGCUUAGAUAUGACGAAGAACUCCGAUUGCGAAGGCAGCCUGCUGGGCCGCAACUGACGCUGAAGCUCGAAGGUGCGGGUAUCAAACAGGAUUAGAUACCCUGGUA
rnacentral:rRNA from 2 species